UAGGGAAUCUUCCACAAUGGGCGAAAGCCUGAUGGAGCAACGCCGCGUGUGUGAUGAAGGGUUUCGGCUCGUAAAACACUGUUGUUAAGAGAAGAAUGACAUUGAGAGUAACUGUUCAAUGUGUGACGGUAUCUUACCAGAAAGGAACGGCUAACUACGUGCCAC
rnacentral:rRNA from 1 species